rnacentral:rRNA from 1 species
GACGAACGCUGGCGGCGUGCUUAACACAUGCAAGUCGAACGGAAAGGCCCUGCUUUUGUGGGGUGCUCGAGUGGCGAACGGGUGAGUAACACGUGAGUAACCUGCCCUUGACUUUGGGAUAACUUCAGGAAACUGGGGCUAAUACCGGAUAGGAGCUCCUGCUGCAUGGUGGGGGUUGGAAAGUUUCGGCGGUUGGGGAUGGACUCGCGGCUUAUCAGCUUGUUGGUGGGGUAGUGGCUUACCAAGGCUUUGACGGGUAGCCGGCCUGAGAGGGUGACCGGCCACAUUGGGACUGAGAUACGGCCCAGACUCCUACGGGAGGCAACAGUGGGGAAUAUUGCACAAUGGGCGGAAGCCUGAUGCAGCAACGCCGCGUGCGGGAUGACGGCCUUCGGGUGGUAAACCGCUUUCGCCUGUGACGAAGCGUGAGUGACGGUAAUGGGUAAAGAAGCACCGGCUAACUACGU